CCUACGGGAGGCAGCAGUGAGGAAUAUUGGUCAAUGGACGAGAGUCUGAACCAGCCAAGUAGCGUGAAGGAUGAAUGCCCUAUGGGUUGAAAACUUCUUUUAUAAAGGAAUAAAACGAGGCACGUGUGCCUUUUUGCAUGUACUUUAUGAAUAAGGAUCGGCUAACUCCGUUCCAGCAGCCGCGGGAAUACGGAGGAUCCGAGCGUUAUCCGGAGUGAGUGGAGUGAACGGGAGCGUAGAUGGGUUGUUAAGUCAGUUGUGAAAGUUUCCGGCUCAACCGUAAAAUUGCAAUUGAUACUGGCAGUCUUGAGUACAGUUGAGGGAGGCGGAAUUCGUGGUGUAGCGGUAAAAUGCUUAGAUAUCACGAAGAACCCCGAUGGCGAAGGCAGCUUACUAAACUGUGACUGACAUUGAUGCUCGAAAGUGUGGGGAUCAAACAGGAUUAGAUACCCGAGUAGUC
rnacentral:rRNA from 1 species